CCCAGACACCUAGAGAAGAUAUUUGGGGCUGACUGACCUAUUAAACUGCAAAUGUUGAAACAUGUCAUCAAUGCAAGUGUGUGAAAGUUUGGAAUUUACAGAGAAAAGAGAAAUUACAUAAACAUAAUACAACGUAUGCUCAAAUUGAUCUAUUUAUAUUCAAAUUACCCAGUUCAUGCCAAACUGCUUAUAACAGCAGAGUAUAAAAACAUACUCGAGGCCAGUGACACUCACAUAUGCAAGCUGACACACACACA